GAUGAACGCUGGCGGCGUGCCUAAUACAUGCAAGUCGAGCGAACGGACGAGAAGCUUGCUUCUCUGAUGUUAGCGGCGGACGAGUGAGUAACACGUGGAUAACCUACCUAUAAGACUGGGAUAACUUCGGGAAACCGGAGCUAAUACCGGAUAAUAUUUUGAACCGCAUGGUUCAAAAGUGAAAGACGGUCUUGCUGUCACUUAUAGAUGGAUCCGCGCUGCAUUAGCUAGUUGGUAAGGUAACGGCUUACCAAGGCAACGAUGCAUAGCCGACCUGAGAGGGAGAACGGCCACAAUGGAACUGAGACACGGUCCAGACUCCUACGGGAGGCAGCAGUAGGGAAUCUUCCGCAAUGGGCGAAAGCCUGACGGAGCAACGCCGCGUGAGUGAUGAAGGUCUUCGGAUCGUAAAACUCUGUUAUUAGGGAAGAACAUAUGUGUAAGUAACUGUGCACAUCUUGACGGUACCUAAUCAGAAAGCCACGGCUAACUACGUG
rnacentral:rRNA from 1 species